rnacentral:tRNA from 1 species
GGGAGUGGCCGUGGCUCAGUGGCACAGCAUGUGCUUGGCACGCAGAAGGUGCCGGGUUCAGUCCCCAGCAUCUCCCG